AUUGAACGCUGGCGGCAGGCCUAACACAUGCAAGUCGAGCGAGCGGCGGACGGGUGAGUAAUGUAUGGGGAUCUGCCUGAUGGAGGGGGAUAACUACUGGAAACGGUCGCUAAUACCGCAUACCAUCAGAUGAACCCAUAUGGGAUUAGCUUGUAGGUGAGGUAACUGCUCACCUAGGCGACGAUCCCUAGCUGGUCUGAGAGGAUGAUGAGCCACACUGGGACUGAGAAACGGCCCAGACUCCUACGGGAGGCACCAGGGGGGAAGAGUGCACAGUGGGCGCAAGCCUGAUGCAGCCAUGCCGCGUGUAUGAAGAAGGCAUUCGGGUUGUAAAGUACUUUCAGUCGGGAGGCGUUACCGUCAGAAGAAGCACCGGCUAACUCCGUGCCAGCCGCCGCGGUAAUAC
rnacentral:rRNA from 1 species